AUUGAACGCUGGCGGCAUGCUUUACACAUGCAAGUCGAACGGCAGCGCGGGCUUCGGCCUGGCGGCGAGUGGCGAACGGGUGAGUAAUGCAACGGAACGGGCCCAGUAGUGGGGGAUAGCCCGGCGAAAGCCGGAUUAAUACCGCAUACGACCUGAGGGUGAAAGCGGGGGACCGAAAGGCCUCGCGCUAUUGGAGCGGCCGAUGUCGGAUUAGCUAGUUGGUGGGGUAAAGGCUUACCAAGGCGACGAUCCGUAGCUGGUCUGAGAGGACGACCAGCCACACUGGGACUGAGACACGGCCCAGACUCCUACGGGAGGCAGCAGUGGGGAAUUUUGGACAAAGGGGGCAACCCUGAUCCAGCCAUGCCGCGUGCGGGAAGAAGGCCUUCGGGUUGUAAACCGCUUUUGUUCGGGAAGAAAUCCUCUGGGCUAAUACCCCGGGGGGAUGACGGUACCGGAAGAAUAAGCACCGGCUAACUACGUG
rnacentral:rRNA from 1 species